rnacentral:rRNA from 1 species
AACGAACGCUGGCGGCAUGCCUAACACAUGCAAGUCGAACGAGACCAUCGGGACUAGUGGCGCACGGGUGCGUAACGCGUGGGAACCUGCCCUUAGGUUCGGAAUAACUCCCCGAAAGGGGUGCUAAUACCGGAUAAUGUAUUCGGACAAAAGAUUUAUCGCCUUUGGAUGGGCCCGCGUUGGAUUAGCUAGUUGGUAGGGUAAAAGCCUACCAAGGCGACGAUCCAUAGCUGGUCUGAGAGGAUGAGCAGCCACACUGGGACUGAGACACGGCCCAGACUCCUACGGGAGGCAGCAGUGGGUAAUAUUGGACAACGGGCGAAAGCCUGAUCCAGCAAUGCUGCGUGAGUGAUUAAGGCCUUAGGGUUGUAAAGCUCUUUUACCCGGGAUGAUAAUGACAGUACCGGGAGAAUAAGCACCGGCUAACUCCGUG